rnacentral:misc_RNA from 1 species
AACGCAUAUUGCGCUCGAGGCCUUGGCCGAGAGCAUGUCUGCCUCAGCGUCGGGUUAUUCUCAUGCUAUAAACUCCAGUUGUGUAAUUGCCUUCAACAGCAUUUACAUAGGGACGCAUGGAACUGGCAGUCUCGGUACGCACGUCCCUUCACGGUUGAUGUGCCUUGCGUUACCGUGUCUGCUUAAGUACAGAGUGAAGCGUUAAGCAAGGACCGUUAUGACGGACCGCAACUGGGUAUGUAGUAAUUGCCUAAAGCGGUGUUGGUCCUAGGUUCUUGUGUUGUCUGCUUGCGGUUCUCGUUCGCAGACUGGAAGACGUGGACAAUAAAGCAGGAAUCCCAUUUAUUGGGAUCUAUAUAACCUAUUAUCUCGACCUGAGCUCAGGCAAGAACACCCGCUGAACUUAA